CUUAGCUUGGUGUAUAUGGCACAACAGACUUUCUAUCUAUAGGAGAAGGUUUAACCCCUUCAGUUAAGGC
rnacentral:tRNA from 1 species